rnacentral:rRNA from 1 species
GACGAACGCUGGCGGCGUGCUUAACACAUGCAAGUCGAACGGAAAGGCCCUGCUUUUGUGGGGUGCUCGAGUGGCGAACGGGUGAGUAACACGUGAGUAACCUGCCCUUGCCUUUGGGAUAACUUCAGGAAACUGGGGCUAAUACCGGAUAGGAGCUCCUGCUGCAUGGUGGGGGUUGGAAAGUUUCGGCGGUUGGGGAUGGACGCGCGGCUUAUCAGCUUGUUGGUGGGGUAGUGGCUUACCAAGGCUUUGACGGGUAGCCGGCCUGAGAGGGUGACCGGCCACAUUGGGACUGAGAUACGGCCCAGAGUGCUACGGGAGGCAGAAGUGGGAAAUAGUGCACGAUGGGCGGAAGCCUGAUGCAGCAACGCCGCGUGCGGGAUGACGGCCUUCGGGUUGUAAACCGCGUGCGCCUGUGACGAAGCGUGAGUGACGGUAAUGGGUAAAGAAGCACCGGCUAACUACGUG